rnacentral:rRNA from 1 species
UACGUAGGGGGCUAGCGUUGUCCGGAAUCACUGGGCGUAAAGGGUUCGCAGGCGGAAAUGCAAGUCAGAUGUAAAAGGCAGUAGCUUAACUACUGUAAGCAUUUGAAACUGCAUAUCUUGAGAAGAGUAGAGGUAAGUUGAAUUUUUAGUGUAGCGGUGAAAUGCUUAGAUAUUAAAAAGAAUACCGUUGGCGAAGGCGACUUUCUGGCCAUUAUCUGACGCUGAGGAGCGAAAGCAUGGGGAGCGAACAGG